CGGGUGAGUAAUGUCUGGGAAACUGCCUGAUGGAGGGGGAUAACUGCUGGAAACGGUAGCUAAUACCGCAUAACGUCGCAAGACCAAAGUGGGGGACCUUCGGGCCUCUUGCCAUCGGAUGUGCCCAGAUGGGAUUAGCUAGUAGGUGGGGUAACGGCUCACCUAGGCGACGAUCCCUAGCUGGUCUGAGAGGAUGACCAGCCACACUGGAACUGAGACACGGUCCAG
rnacentral:rRNA from 1 species